rnacentral:rRNA from 1 species
GACGAACGCUGGCGGCGUGCUUAACACAUGCAAGUCGAACGGAAAGGCCCUGCUUUUGUGGGGUGCUCGAGUGGCGAACGGGUGAGUAACACGUGAGUAACCUGCCCUGGACUUUGGGAUAACUUCAGGAAACUGGGGCUAAUACCGGAUAGGAGCUCCUGCUGCAUGGUGGGGGUUGGAAAGUUUCGGCGGUGGGGGAUGGACGCGCGGCUUAUCAGCUUGUUGGGGGGGUAGUGGCUUACCAAGGCUUUGACGGGUAGCCGGCCUGAGAGGGUGACCGGCCACCUUGGGACUGAGAGACGGCCCAGACUCCUACGGGAGGCAGCAGUGGGGAAUAUUGCACAAUGGGCGGAAGCCUGAUGCAGCAACGCCGCGUGCGGGAUGACGGCCUUCGGGUUGUAAACCGCUUUCGCCUGUGACGAAGCGUGAGUGACGGUAAUGGGUAAAGAAGCACCGGCUAACUACGUG